rnacentral:rRNA from 1 species
UACGGAGGGAGCUAGCGUUAUUCGGAAUUACUGGGCGUAAAGCGCACGUAGGCGGCUUUGUAAGUAAAAGGUAGAAAGCCCAGAGCUCAACUCUGGAAUUGCCUUUUAGACUGCAUCGCUUGAAUCAUGGAGAGGUCAGUGGAAUUCCGAGUGUAGAGGUGAAAUUCGUAGAUAUUCGGAAGAACACCAGUGGCGAAGGCGGCUGACUGGACAUGUAUUGACGCUGAGGUGCGAAAGCGUGGGGAGCAAACAGG